UGCAAGUCGAGGGGCAGCGAGAUGUAGCAAUACAUUGUCGGCGACCGGCGAAUGGGUGAGUAACACGUAUGCAACUUACCUCUUAGUGGUGAAUAACUCGAUGAAAGUCGAACUAAUACACCAUAUGCUCACAGGUCCACAUGGUCUGGUGAGGAAAGAUUAAUCGCUAAGAGAUAGGCCUGCGUUCCAUUAGUUAGUUGGUGAGGUAACGGCUCACCAAGGCAACGAUGGAUAGGGGGACUGAGAGGUUGACCCCCCACAUUGACACUGAGAUACGGGUCAAACUCCUACGGGAGGCAGCAGUGAGGAAUAUUGGUCAAUGGGCGAGAGCCUGAACCAGCCAAGUCGCGUGAAGGAGGACUGCCCGCAAGGGUUGUAAACUUCUUUUGUAUGGGAUUAAAGUCACCUACGUGUAGGUGUUUGCAGUUACCAUACGAAUAAGCAUCGGCUAAC
rnacentral:rRNA from 1 species